rnacentral:rRNA from 1 species
GACGAACGCUGGCGGCGUGCUUAACACAUGCAAGUCGAACGGCAAGGCCCUGCUUUUGUGGGGUGCUGGAGUGGCGAACGGGUGAGGAACACGUGAGUAACCUGCUCUUGACUUUGGGAUAACUUCAGGAAACUGGGGCUAAUACCGGAUAGGAGAUCCUGCUGCAUGGUGGGGGGUGGAAAGUUUGGGCGGUUGGGGAUGGACUAGCGGCUUAUCAGCUUGUUGGUGGGGGAGUGGCUUACCAAGGCUUUGACGGGUAGGCGGCCUGAGAGGGUGACCGGCCACAUUGUGACUGAGAUACGGCGCAGACGCCUACGGGAGGCAGCAGGGGGGAAUAUGACACAAUGGUCGGGAGCCUGAUGCAGCAACGCCGCGUGCGGGAUGACGGCCUUCGGGUUGUAAACCGCUUUCGCCUGUGACGAAGCGGGAGUGACGGUAAUGGGUAAAGAAGCACCGGCUAACUUCGUG